UCGUGUAGCCUUGUUUAGCAACGACAUUUAGUUGUGAUGCGCUGUAGUAACUGUAGCUCGCUAACUAAGCCGACUCUGCCACUUCCACUGCCACCUACCAGCUUACACUGUGCUGCAAACUCAGAAAAGAAAGACAGAAAACCAGCGGGGGGAUAAAACAAGAACACGACUGAUUUUAGAGCGAAGCCAAGAGUAAACGGCAGGGUGGCUUUUCGGCGCUGGAGUUAGCUGAGGGAGUUGGAGAGCUCGGAGAGUGAUGCUGACCUUAUUGAUAACUGUCUGUGAGACAGAUUUGAAUCUUCUUGAAAAUCUGUGAAACUACCUGGAACGACGAGUAAGACGACAGGGGAGGCAUCCACAAAAUCUGGCCGAACUGAGCAAUUCUUCGCUGUGAGCUAAAUUGAGUACAGUGUGCAGAAGAGAAAGAGAGGCAAAGGCAGCAGUAGAGAGGCUUCAGCAUCAUCCCAGCGCAAAGAGUGAAGCAGAAGAUCCAAACUAGCCAACAUUGCAGUGGCAUCCUCAAAGAUACUCAAAAACCCCUUACACAUGCUCUCCGCCUUGAUCUCUACAUACUGACACAUC